GGCUUGAUAGCUUAGUGGUAGAGCAUUUGCCUAGCAUACAUUAGGCCCUGGGUUUAAUCCCCAGUGCAGUCC
rnacentral:tRNA from 1 species